rnacentral:rRNA from 1 species
UACGGAGGGUGCGAGCGUUGUCCGGAAUCACUGGGCGUAAAGGGCGCGUAGGCGGCAUGCCAAGCGUGUGGUGAAAGCCCGGGGCUCAACCCCGGGUCGGCCGUGCGGACUGGCGUGCUCGAGCACUGUAGGGGCGGGUGGAAUUCCGGGUGUAGCGGUGGAAUGCGUAGAUAUCGGGAGGAACACCAGUGGCGAAGGCGGUUGCCUGGAGCUUUGCUGACGCUGAUGCGCGAAAGCGUGGGGAGCGAUCCGG